rnacentral:rRNA from 1 species
AAUAGAUACCCGGGUAGUCCACGCCGUAAACGAUGAGUGCUAAGUGUUAGAGGGUUUCCGCCCUUUAGUGCUGAAGUUAACGCAUUAAGCACUCCGCCUGGGGAGUACGGCCGCAAGGCUGAAACUCAAAGGAAUUGACGGGGGGCCCGCACAAGCGGUGGAGCAUGUGGUUUAAUUCGAAGCAACGCGAAGAACCUUACCAGGUCUUGACAUCCUCUGACAACCCUAGAGAUAGGGCUUCCCCCUUCGGGGGCAGAGUGACAGGUGGUGCAUGGUUGUCGUCAGCUCGUGUCGUGAGAUGUUGGGUUAAGUCCCGCAACGAGCGCAACCCUUGAUCUUAGUUGCCAUCAUUAAGUUGGGCACUCUAAGGUGACUGCCGGUGACAAACCGGAGGAAGGUGGGGAUGACGUCAAAUCAUCAUGCCCCUUAUGACCUGGGCUACACACGUGCUACAAUGGACGGUACAAAGAGCCGCAAGACCGCGAGGUGGAGCUAAUCUCAUAAAACCGUUCUCAGUUCGGAUUGUAGG